UUAUCUAUUUUGCCCUUUUUUUACUUGAAUUUUACUUUUAAAAAAUGCCAAAAGAAAAAUAAAUCAGCUACGUUAAUAAACUCCAACAGUCGCUUAUUAAUAUUCUAGUAACUGUUGGAAAAAGGAUGAGAUGAACCAAUAGGUUUUCACGAGAAACGCUUAACAGUUAAAAGAGGGAAAAGGGGAAAAAGAGGAGAAGAACGAGUUUUACCAAUUGCUCUCUACUAUCAAGUCUCCAUUCUCUCAUCAAUAACUAUAAGCAAAGCUAAUAUGGCAAAGGGUAGACUUCGUUGCAUUGGAACUUCAAUAAGAUUGAAAUCAAAGUUUGAAACUAGUUCCAUUACUAACAUAAGCUUUUCUGGUGGGACAAAUGGGACACCUGAAAGGGAAGAUACUUUUAGUACAUCUCAACCUGAAGCAGUGAAACAGUUCUCUAAAAGUCGUUUGGACGUGGUGCCUAAAGAGGAAAACAACAAUAUUAUUCCCCAUGACAAGGAGAAUUUAGAUGUGGAGGAGAUAUGUGGAUGAGUGUGGACUGAAGACACACGGAUGUCACUCUUGAAAUUUUCAAUAGUUCUUCAUUCUUGAGAGGCACUUCCUGAAGAUCUUCAGGCAGAGGUUCUUGCAUCGCAGCAGGCUCAGGCUCAACCUCUAACUUAUACAGCACCGACAGCUGAAGAUAUCGAUCCAGAGUUCUUAGUUGCUCUCCCUUCAGAUAUUCAAGAAAAAGUUCUUGCCCAACAACGUGCUCAAAGAGUCGUGUAGCAGGCUGAAGGUCAACCUAUGGAAAUGGAUAAUGCUUCAAUCAUAGCCACAUUUCCAGCUGAUCUGCGUGAAGAGAUAUGUAUUUGGAGUAUUUUACACCCGUCCUCUGAAUACUUUAACAUUUUAUUUAUGCUUAUUUUGGGUGUUUGUCAGGUUCUGUUAACAUCGUCAGAAGACAUUGUUUCAGCAUUGCCAUCUCCAUUACUCGCUGAAGCAUAAAUGUUUAGGGACAGGGCUAUGAGUCAUUACCAAGAACACAGUUUAUUUGGAGGCAGCCACAGGCUUCAUGGUUGUAGAAAUGGUCUGGGAUUUGACAGACAGACAGGUAUGGACAGGGGUGUGGGUGUUACAAUCGGCCGGAGGGCUGCAUCCUUUUUUUCAGAGAGAUUGAAGUUGAAGGAGCUUGAAAGCGAGCCACUUUUAGAUGCUAAUGGCUUGAAAUCAUUGAUCCGCCUCUUGCGUUUAGCGCAGGACUUCCUCCACUGGUAUUGCAUCGGAUUCUGGAGGUCUCAACUUACCUCGCUACAAACCACUCUGCAGUUGCUGGUCUUUUUUUCUAAUACCGCUUUCAUGUCCUUCAAGUUUACCUAGAUGAAACCAGAGGUAUCUCUUAGCAGUGGAAUUCACGCAACUGUCUAGUGCAAUCCGAAGUGGGUGCAACAUAGUGGCUGAUCUAAUCUAAGAAUCGGACACGGGUGCAACAUCAAAAUUGCAACAUCAAAAAAGAAAAAUUCGCGCAACUUAGUCUGUAGCAAAAGUUGACUUGAAGGAGAGAAAUCUUCUUCAAUUCAUUAGACAUCAUUUUAUCAAGUUGGCAAGUUUUGAGUGAAAUUUUCAAAUGUUGCAAACAGUAUAUGCAAAUUGCAUAGAUUGGAUUUUAGUUCACAUCUGUUA